rnacentral:rRNA from 1 species
UUGAUUACGUCCCUGCCCUUUGUACACACCGCCCGUCGCUGCCCGGGACUGAGUCAUUUCGAGAAACUUGAGGACCGUCGGCUUCGUGGUUUCGGCCACCUGUUGAUGGAAAUCAAUUUAAUUGCAGUGACUUGAACCGGGCAAAAGUCGUAACAAGGUAGCUGUAGGUGAACCUGCUGCUGGAUCAUUACGCAAAAGAAU